rnacentral:rRNA from 1 species
GACGAACGCUGGCGGCGUGCUUAACACAUGCAAGUCGAACGGAAAGGCCCUGCUUUUGUGGGGUGCUCGAGUGGCGAACGGGUGAGUAACACGUGAGUAACCUGCCCUUGACUUUGGGAUAACUUCAGGAAACUGGGGCUAAUACCGGAUAGGAGCUCCUGCUGCAUGGUGGGGGUUGGAAAGUUUCGGCGGUUGGGGAUGGACUCGCGGCUUAUCAGCUUGUUGGUGGGGUAGUGGCUUACCAAGGCUUUGACGGGUAGCCGGCCUGAGAGGGUGGCCACAUUGGGACUGAGAUACGGCCCAGACUCCUACGGGAGGCAGCAGUGGGGAAUAUUGCACAAUGGGCGGAAGCCUGAUGCAGCAACGCCGCGUGCGGGAUGACGGCCUUCGGGUUGUAAACCGCUUUCGCCUGUGACGAAGCGUGAGUGACGGUAAUGGGUAAAGAAGCACCGGCUAACUACGUG